rnacentral:rRNA from 1 species
GACGAACGCUGGCGGUGUGCUUAACACAUGCAAGUCGAACGGAAAGGCCCUGCUUUUGUGGGGUGCUCGAGUGGCGAACGGGUGAGUAACACGUGAGUAACCUGCCCUUGAUUUUGGGAUAACUUCAGGAAAGUGGGGCUAAUACCGGAGAGGAUCUCCUGCUGCAUGGUGGGGGUUGGAAAUUUUCGGCGGUUGGGGAUGGACUCGCGGCUUAUCAGCUUGUUGGUGGGGUAGUGGCUUACCAAGGCUUUGACGGGUAGCCGGCCUGAGAGGGUGACCGGCCACAUUGGGACUGAGAUACGGCCCAGACUCCUACGGGAGGCAGCAGUGGGGAAUAUUGCACAAUGGGCGGAAGCCUGAUGCAGCAACGCCGCGUGCGGGAUGACGGCCUUCGGGUUGUAAACCGCUUUCGCCUGUGACGAAGCGUGAGUGACGGUAAUGGGUAAAGAAGCACCGGCUAACUACGUG